rnacentral:rRNA from 1 species
GACGAACGCUGGCGGCGUGCCUAAUACAUGCAAGUAGGACGCAGUUGCGAACGGGUGAGUAACGCGUAGGUAACUACCUAUUAGAGGGGGAUAACUAUUGGAAACGAUAGCUAAUACCGAAUACUAGUAGAUGGACCUGCGGUGUAUUAGCUAGUAGGUAGGGUAAUGGCCGACCUAGGCAACGAUACAUAGACGGAGUGAGAGGAUGAUAGGCAACACUGGGACGGAGACACGGCCGAGACGACUACGGGAGGCAGCAGUAGGGAAUCGUCGGCAAGGGGGGGAAGCCUGACUGAGAAACGCCGCGGGAGUGAAGAAGGUUUUCGGAUCGUAAAGCUCUGUUGUUAAGGAAGCGGUACUUAACCAGAAAGGGACGGCUAACUACGUGCCAGCAGCCGCGGUAAUAC